rnacentral:tRNA from 1 species
GCCCAGGUAGCUCAGUAGGCAGAGCACUUCCUUGGUAAGGAAGUGGUCGUCGGUUCGAGUCCGAUCCUGGGCU